rnacentral:rRNA from 1 species
UACAGAGGGUGCGAGCGUUGUCCGGAAUCACUGGGCGUAAAGCGCGCGCAGGCGGCUCUUCAAGUCAGGGGUGAAAGCCCAGAGCUCAACUCUGGAACUGCCUUUGAGACUGAAGAGCUUGAGUACGGGAGAGGUGAGUGGAAUUCCCAGUGUAGAGGUGAAAUUCGUAGAUAUUGGGAAGAACACCGGUGGCGAAGGCGGCUCACUGGCCCGUUACUGACGCUCAGGCGCGACAGCGUGGGGAUCAAACAGG